rnacentral:rRNA from 1 species
UACAGAGGGUGCAAACGUUGUUCGGAAUUACUGGGCGUAAAGAGCGUGUAGGCGGUCCGGUAAGUCGGUUGUGAAAGUCCAGGGCUCAACCCUGGGAUGCCGACCGAUACUGUCGGACUAGAGUUCGGAAGAGGCGAGUGGAAUUCCCGGUGUAGCGGUGAAAUGCGCAGAUAUCGGGAGGAACACCUAUGGCGAAGGCAGCUCGCUGGGACGUUACUGACGCUGAGACGCGAAAGCGUGGGGAGCAAACAGG